AGCAGCCGCGGUAAUUCCAGCUCCAAUAGCGUAUAUUAAAGUUGUUGCAGUUAAAAAGCUCGUAGUUGAACUUCGGGGUUUACCCAUUGGUCAGGUUUAAUUAUCUGUACUGGUGAGAUAAAUCUCUACCUUCUGAGGAACUUUCAUGCCAUUCAUUUGGUGUGGGAGGAAAUCAGGACUGUUACUUUGAAAAAUUAGAGUGUUUAAAGCAGGCUAACGUCUGAAUACAUUAGCAUGGAAUAAUGAAAUAGGACGGACUGAUUCUAUUUCGUUGGUUUCUAGGAUCACCGUAAUGAUUAAUAGGGAUAGUUGGGGGCAUUAGUAUUCAAUUGUCAGAGGUGAAAUUCUUGGAUUUAUUGAAGACUAACUACUGCGAAAGCAUUUGCCAAGGAUGUUUUCAUUAAUCAAGAACGAAAGUUAGGGGAUCGAAGACGAUCAGAUACCGUCGUA
rnacentral:rRNA from 1 species